UGAGGAAUAUUGGGCAAUGCCCGCAAGGGUGACCCAGCAACGCCGCGUGGAGGAUGAAUGUCGUAAGAUUGUAAACUCCUGUUAGAGGGGAAGAAUAGUACCGGUUGGACCGGUAUAUGACUGUACCCUCAGAGAAAGCCCCGGCUAACUACGUGACAGCAGCCGCGGUAAUACGUAGGGGGCAAGCGUUGUCCGGAUUUACUGGGUGUAAAGGGCGCGCAGGCGGGAUAAAAAGUCAGUGGUGAAAUCCUACAGCUUAACUGUAGAACUGCCUUUGAUACUUUUAUUCUUGAGUUCGGGAGAGAGAGACGGAAUUCCAGGUGUAGUGGUGAAAUACGUAGAUAUCUGGAAGAACACCAGUUGCGAAGGCGGUCUCUUGGUCCGACACUGACGCUGAGGCGCGAAAGCGUGGGGAGCAAACA
rnacentral:rRNA from 1 species